GAGCAGAAUUCAGCUUUAAAUAUGAACAAGAAAUCAGUUUUACCUACAACUAAAUCAACUGGAUUGUCAACUUUCACAAACCCUAGAUUACCCAUGUCCAUGUCAACCUCCACUCCAAGAUCGUCCAAGCCAGUAUCAAACGCCACUCCAAGAUCGUCCAAGCCAGUAUCAAACUCCACUCCAAGAUCUUCAAAGCUGGUAUCAACCUUUACUCCAAGAUCGUCUAAACCAGUAUCAACUUCCACUCCAAGAUCGUCAAAGCCGGUAUCAACUUCCACUCCAAUAUUGUCUAAGCCGUUAUCAACCUCCACUCCAAGAUCAUCUAAGGCCUUAUCAACCUCCACUCCAAGAUCGUCUAAGCUGGUACCAACCUCCACUCCAAGAUCGUCAAAGUCGGUACCAGCCUCCACUCUAAGACCGUCUAAGACAGGGUCAGCAGCCACCUCCAGGUUGUAUAAGCCACUCUCGACAUCAAGUCCCGCAUUACCCAAGUCGGUAUCAACAUCUGCUCCAAGAUUGACAAAGCCGGCAUCAGCUUCCACUUCUAGAUUGUCAAAGCCGGCAUCAAACCCUAUGGUGCGACCUGUAUCUCAAUCUUCAACACGAAAGCUAAAUGUAUCAACAGGGAGCAAAAUUUCUUCUGGAGCAGAAAUCAGACAAGCAGCUCCUACAGCACUUAAUAAGUCUCUUGAUAUGGUUACCUUUAGUCCAUCUAGACAGUCUUUUAUUAUGGAGCAGAUGGGGGACAAAGACAUUGUUAAACGAGCUUUUAAGUCAUUCCAGAACAAUUUAAACCAGUUACAACCAUCUCAUGUUGAAAAUCCAUGUGGCUCAAGGCCGGUUAGUCAUUCUAUAUACUGUUUUCCUUCUUUAGAUAACUAAAAGAAAAUAGCUGCCUCUCAGUCUUCCUAAUUUGCUUGACUACAAGUUUUUCUGUUCCUUGUUUGACAAUCUAAAUUAAGAGGUGCUGUAAUUUCCACCAUUUUGGGCAGAUAUCAGCAAGGGGGUCAUCAGAGCAUCAAGCUUCAAGUUCUGUAACUUCUCAGAAAGAGAAUGAAAGGUAGUCUUAAAGUCUUGUAUCUAACAACGUACAAUUGAGUGCAUGCUGCCAAUUUUGUUUACUUUUGAACAUAAAUUGUUGAAGCCCUUGAUGUUUUUGUAGAAUUGCUUAUCAAUAUGCAAUGCUUGUAUUAUCAUUAUAUUUUUGUCCAGCUUUCUCAGUUAAUUGCUUCUAGCAUUUAUGCUUUUCUUCACAAAAUUAUGCAACCCCCUUCCCCCAAAAACUUGCAUUUUACAAAUUGGUGAUCAGUGAUUUAGUGUGGAUAAAACUUUAAACCCGUAUAUAGCCUUAUUAAUCUGUUUUUUGCUCAAAAUUUUAAUAUGAGACUACUAUCCUAGAUUCCUAUAUGUUGAAAAUGCAUAUGUAUUUAUUAAUAUACAUGUUAUGGUACUUGUAAGCAACUAAAUAUGUAGUUCAAGAUCUGAAAUACCCUUUCUAUCUAUUCCUUGCAAUUCAUUGCAUAAUAUUCUUUAUAUGGAAUUUCUUUUUGUGGCCAGUAAUUUUCUCUUAUGACGAGUUGGUAUUGUACUUUUUAAGUAAUUUCUGAACCAAAUGUUAGUAUUUGAUAUCUUCUUAAGUUGCAUUAGUUGCUAAACUGUAUAACGGUAUAAGACCAUCCUAUUUUAUGUAUACUAGCUUAAUUAACUAAUCUCAUAAUAAAUACUCGUCUGUAGAACAAGGAAGGCAACAGGGAAGAUGAAUGCUCAAAAAAAUCUUACUGGAACUAAAUGGAGUACUACAUCAUCAAGGUAAUAUAUGAAAUUUGUUACUCAAUUAUCAGAAAAAAUUGUAUGAAAUUUUUUUUUCAUAAAGAAAAAAUGAAAAUUGUUGCUCUUGAAGUCAUAGAGAAAUCAUCAUUGUUUGAAGCACUCUCCAAGUCUUAUGACAGGAGUUAUUGUUUUUGAGAUAUAUAGCUUAUAAGUAGUCAUGUGUUAUACCUACUGAAUUCUAAUAUGUGUAAAACUAUUUUCUAACAUUAUUUUCCUUUAAAAAUGUGUGUGCCCCAGCUAGCUAGCUUCCUUCGUUAUGCACAGUAUGUGAAAUUUGUGUAUGCUGCAAUAAUAUUUUCCUGAUUAUAAGCUGAUCAGCCAAUAUUAUUCUGAUUUUUAUGUCUUAGUGUCUGGCUAAGCCCUAAAACUAGCCCUGAAUAUCUCAGGCCUAUUAUAUUUAUCAAAUUAUGUCUAAUUAUAGAAAAUUUGUGAAGAAGCAGUGAUGCUUAUAAUAUGUGCUUAAUGAUUUUUAAUAGACUCAUAUUGUAUCUGGAAAAUAUUCACAUUAAUAAAGUACAUCUUUAUUUUUUUAAACCUUUUCUAAAUUUGCAUACAUAUUAUAUAUAAAGUAGUUUCUAUUUCUAUAGUAACUUCUUACAAUUCAUACGCUAUCUUGCAUGCUCAAUUUUUUAAUUUAAAGCAGGUCACUCGUAGAAACCGGGGCAGGAAUAUAUCUGAAGCCAGAUUCAUCUUCUUCCAGCCCAAUAAGUGAAGAAAGAGCAGAAAAGCGGAAAGCGGUGACUUCCCUUCACUAAUAGCCUUCUUUUCUUUCUGUUGUUGUCUUUGCAUGCACCUUACUAUGUCUUGUUCUUUUUAUUUUUUAUUUUUUUUUAUUUACAGUUUCUCAAAAAUCUGAAGGAAAAGUCUUAUGCCAGGGAAGAAGAAAAGAGACGUCUUAGCUCAGAACCAAAGGUGUUAUAUACUUCCAAAGUUGCCAAUAUGGAUGAAUAUUCUUAUCUUUUUCAUUAUUAAUUUAUGAUCAGACUUAACGCAACAAACUGUAAAUCCUAGUAGAAUGGUAUUUUAUUUUGACAUGUCAAACUUGACUUUAGAGGAGGAAGAUGCUGUGAUUAAGAUAGAGAUGUUCCAGCUGAACCUCAACCUUUGAUUUAAAUUUCUAGGAGGGCCACCCAGCUUCUAGCCAUCAAUCCUCAUAAAAUUAUUAGUUUUUCCCUUUUUCUCCCUUACCCGUAUCUGACAUUAGUAUGCUUGUCUUGACUAGAGGAAAAUUUAAGACGUACAGGGACCCAUCAUAAUUACAUCUUUAAACUGUGAAAGCUGUUUGUGAGUAAUAUUACUGAUUUGUUUUUGCUUUUUGUGUUUCCAUAAUAAUAUAAGGGAAGAAUAACAUCAUUUCUUCCAUAUAGUUCUACUGUUGUGGAAACCAGAGGAUGUUGUACCUAUCUAUUUCAAGUAGACCUCACAAAUCAUUCAUGUCAUUUACUUUCGUGUCGUGUAUUGUCGUGUUCCGUGUACUUGAAGGUGAAACCCAUAUCCGACCCAUUUAGAAUUCGUGUACCUAAUCACAAACCGAUAUCCAUUUUGAAGCGUGUCGUGUACUUUUCGUGUACAUUCAAUAUAAGUAUAAUAAAAAAUUUAAUUAAAAUAUAUUUAUAAAAUAUAUUUUUAUGUAUUAUUUUGUGAAAUAUAUAUUAAAUCUUUAUAUUUGCAUACGAUUUUGUACCAAUUGGUGCAUGUAUAUAUAUAUUGGCUAACAUUCCAGGGAGGUACUCCUUGUAUGGAGUUACAUAGUACAGCAUUGUAAAUCAUCAAUUUUAUUAUAAAUUUUAUUAUAGAAUACAUAUAAAACGUGAUUCUAAUACAGAAUACUAUCACAUAUAUCUAUUUCAAGUAAUUUAACACUUAAAAUCUAAGGAAAAAAGUUUAUUUUCGAAACUGAUUCUACAACAGAAUAAUUCUGGAGGAUUAUUAUUCUGUUAUAGAAUCGUGCUGAGAUAUUGCAUAAUUUUAGAUGAUUUUUGGAAUAAAAAAAUUGUAUAACUUUGUUUUUGACUUAAUAAUUAAAAUUUGUAAUUAUAUUCCAUAAAAAUAUAAUAGAUAUAUAUAUAUAUAUAUAUAUAUAUAUAUAUUAUGUAUAUAUUUGUAAUGGUGUGCUACGUAACUCCAUAUAAGAGGGUAUGCUACGGAGUGCUACCCUAUGCAUGUAUGUAUGUAUGUAUGUAUGUACUUAUGUAUGUAUGUAUGUAUGUAUGUAUUUCCUACAUGAAAAUAUACUUAUUUAUCUAUAAAUAUAUUUAUAUCGUGUACAUUUGUGUUGUGUCAAAAAUUGACGGGUCUAUCUGUCACACAGUUAUGGUUUUUUUUUUGGUAUACCGUGAAAAAUAUUGACUUGUUUGACUGUCACAAGACUCACACUGACACACCUCACAAUUUAUGAGGUUAUAUUCGAAAAUAAUAUUUUUUUUAAUAAAAUAUAAGUUAUAAAAAUUGAAUACUGAAUUUUGAAUUAUAUUAUAAUAUUUAUUUAUUUAUUUCGUGUAAGUCGUGUCGUGUACCCAAGCGGUAAACACAAAAUCGACACUACAUCUUGGACGUGUAUUUUGUGUCGUGUACAAAAAAUGCAAACACAAAUACUAAAUAUACGUGUCCUGUUUUCUUGUCGUGUAAAAAAUAGCCGGGUUUAAUUCCAAGUUAACUUGAUAUUUAAAUAGAUAGGUUACAAGUAUAUAAUCAGGUCCCUGACCAACACAAUCUAACAUAAUCUGCAUCUAAUUUUUUCAACUUUUUACGCUUUUCUAUCAGUGGAUAGGUUGGACUGUAAGAGACCUAGUUAAAUGUGCCAAGGACCUUAGCGCAAUUAUAUAUUUAUAAAUAUUUUAAUUUUAUCCUACAACUUGUUGAUGACGCCAAUUGUUUGAUAAUAAUGCAUCCUUAUUGGUAUGAAUGAUAUAUGAAGUGCAAAAUGAAAAAGCAAUGGUGCCGUUAAAACUAUUAAGAAUGAUCUGCUUUCUGUAGCUAAUAAACCUCUCUUUUUUGAUAUAUGAACCUAGUUGUCAGGUCCUGAUGGAGGGAUGGUGUUUGCAUUUAGGUCACGAACAGCAGUAUAGUAUUGACAACUGACAUCAGUUAUUAAGAAAAAUAUCAGUUACUAGAGUAAUUCAUGUCAUUUAAUGUUCAUUAUAGGUGUUUAAUUCCAUCUUUAUUAUUUAUCUACUUAAAACACUUCCUACUUUUUUCAUUUUGUUAUGUUGUAAACAAUUUUGUGGCAUUUGCAGGAGGCAGUUGAGAACAAUAUUGGUCAACAAAGCUGAAUGGCAUGCAUAAUCUUCGACAUCUCUAUGUAAAUCCCAGCCUUUGCGAGAUAAAAAGAUGUACUAUACAUGUGAAGUAGCACAAAAUUGCAGCGGGGAAGACCCCAGUUGACAAAAAGAUGCACUUAUACAGGAAAUUGUUUCACCGAGAAUCUACCGCAUUAUGAGUACAUUCUAACAGCAAGACAAUAUAGUAGCAUGAACUACCCGCUGAUGCUGGCAGUGGCUGGCUGAUUGUUUGGCCAGUUGGUCGUGUCUUUCAUACUGUCAGCAAACAACGACAGGGGAUGCUAGGGUCUCUAAAUUUCGAGUUUGCAUUUUAGAAUCAUAAAAGCUUCUCUGAAAGCGUUGUACUUCAUUACAUCGUUGCAAUGCUAGUGCAAUAGAUAAUUAUGAAGAAUUGGAUCUGAAUGUGCAAAUAUUUAAACUUAGUUAUCUUAAAAUAUUGUACUCCCCCCCUUAAAAGUAUAAUAGUAUUACCUUUCUUGCAUAUCCUACAGAAAUUCGGAUAUUGUUUUUUUCUAUCUAAUCUUGAAAUAAUUAAUAAUGUUCUUUCGAUCCUGUGGUGCUAGGAAAGGUCCUCUCAGUGCUCCACCGCUCAUUGGUCCUGUAAUAUGGAUAGAAGAAUGAUACAAGUUGUUAAACAGUAAGCCUCUUGCUAGAUAAGAUCCGAGCAAAUCAAGAACAAGGGGCCUGAAAUUAACAUCAUUAAGGAGCAUUGCUAACAUACAUUUUAGAAUCAAAGAAUAAAACAAAGCUGAUAACCAAGUAAUCAGGAGUAGUUCAACAUCUUUCUUAAAGAAAUUUUGAAGGAAGAAUCAUCAAGUGACAAUCCUUGUAUGCAAAAGAAGAUAGAAUGGAAAAGAAUCAACACUUGAAUAAUAAGUACUAAGAUUGCACUCUCUGCCAGCCCUUUUCACCUCUGCAGUAUGUACAAUCUUAUCGCUCCCUAACGGAGAACUUGAGUAGGACACAUGUAAGGCUCCCGCAUCAGCAGUUGUAUCCGAACAGAUAUGGACGUUUAGGCUCGACCUAACAGAAAGAAUACAGACGCGUUUAAUCAUCGCGUGAAGCACAACAUUCCCACUGAAGCUUGAGGUCUACACAAGAUUUUAAUCAUCAUCGGAAUCACUAGAACUGCUCUUUGACUUGUCUGACAGGAAGUUUGGUGGCAAUAGAGGGAACUUUACAGAAUUUUUAUAUGCAGGUGAAGUUGAUGUCGUUGCGGUUUUUCUCUUCUGCAUAUUUCUGGUUAUGUCAAUACAGACUUGAUCAACCAUUCCAAGAAAAUCUUUAACUACAACAAAUAGCUGAAGUGGUUGUGCCCCUUUGUCCUUUGAUGCUCCAGCUUGGUAGUAUUCUGUCGUUCUGUUUACGAGCUCCAUUAUAGCUGUGAACUCCUUCUUUACUAUUCUUAGCUCUCCUUCAGCUGAAUCUAGGAAGAUUUUCAUCUCUCUGAUAAAACCUUCUCCUCCACCACUCAUUGCAGAUUCCCCCACAAGUUUUCGUAUUUCUGCAACAUCAUCGGAUAAAGUUGAACAAGCUUUGUGCAGAGCAUCAUAGUCUAGGCCUGCAGCUUUUUUCACAUCAGAGAACUGAGAACUGAUUCCUCCUACAAUUGGCAAGCCAAGCAUAAUAUACUCGUUUUCUUUAAACUCCUUGUCCUCGUUUGAGUUAGAAUUGUCUGUCGUUUUGUCUCUGCUGUUUCUGCUUCUGCUGCUCAAGCUGGAACUUCUAUUGAUCACACAACGUUUGCCUUCUGCUCGGACUACUUCUUCCACAACAAAAUGAAGCAGUGUAGUUUUCCCAUCCGUGCUCUUAACAUCAGAAAGUUUUCGAAGAGAAGUUAAGUUGAAAGCUUGUGCAUUCCCUCUUGAGGUUCCUGCAUUCAUUCGGUUUCCAGCCUUUAGAACGGCUUCAAGAAGUUUGAGUAACAGCCCACGAGUUCUCAGCUCCUUGCAGGCAGAUUCAAGUGUUUUCAGAGACUCUUUAAGGUGGAAAAUCUCAGAAUCAUAAUUUGAUCUAAACAACAGCGCACUAAAUCGACUAAAGGCAGAUGGAACGGCCUUAAGAACAUGGAAGAGAAAUGACUCCGCAUCAGCAAGUCUUGUGUGAUCGUCAUCAAAUGCCAGGAUUAGAGAUUCUUCUUCUUUGGUAGGGGCAAUUCUGUUAAGCUUUUCAAGGAUGUCCAACUCUAAAUCUUGGCCUUCGAUGAGAGCAUCAACUAUUUCUUUACGCGAAACAGAUAAAGAUCGGAGUACAAUAGAUAUGUUCUGAGACUUUCUGGCAUCAAGAAUGAAAAUUUGAGAGGGUGGACCUGUUCUUUCCCCUCUUGGACUUGACAUAUUGCUACCUCUUUUAGGAGAAUUUCGGGUAGUUGCCACUGAUCCGAAAAGGGCUUCCAUAAGAUCACCAUCAACCCUGAAUUCGGUUAAGAAAAGAUCCAAAAAACCUGUUAGAUGAAAUAGAUAACCAAGUUCAUAUAAAUAAUUUCAGAUAAAGAAAAUUAUUAUUACCUAAAAGAACCAGUUUUGACUUUGUCCCAGACCAUGGAAUGCUCAACAUUAGCAUUCACCUUGUCCCAAUGCAAGGGCUUAAAUUUCACCUGACCUUUUUCAUUAUCUGCAACUUUCUCCAGUGAAGACGGAACAGGUGGAGGUGGCUUAAUCGACGUGGUCAAACCACCUGGUUUAGGCGCUGGAGGUGGUGGCGCAGAUGGAGUCUUUUUGGGCAGUGGUGGAGGUGGUGGUAGUGGUAAUGCUGAUGAUGAAACAACAGCAGGAGCUGGCGGUGGAGGAGGAGGAGGUGGAGUUGGUGGUGGAGACCGCGAUGUAAGCUGAACUGAUGACCCUUGUUUCACAACGGUUUUGAUCUGACUUUUUUCGACAUCUGCAGGCCAAAUAUGAGAAGAGGAAGACUUCCCUCUAAGCAAAGGAGUUUCUUGAAUGACAGGCCUAGAAUUCUUGUCAACUCUGCUAGUAACCACAUUUUUCUCAUCCUCUGUGUCGAAAAACUCAUUUUUAUCAAACACCUCCUUGGCCUUAUUUUCGCCUUCCAAUUUUCUCCAAUACAACACAUCCAGGCCCUCCUCAUCCACAAUCACCCCCUUCAAAUUACCAUUAACUCUCACAAAAUCAUCCCCCCUACGCGUCUCAAUAGCGGUAGCAUUCUUGAAACUAGCAUUAGCAAUAACGCGAUUUUUCUUCUUAUGCAUGUACCUCUGCACCAUAAAGAAAAAUAAUGCAGAAAUAACAAUAGUACUUGCAGCUGUUGCAACAACUGCCUUAACCACAGCCUUUUUCGACGAGGACUUUGAUGCUGGUGGAGGCACUCUAGGCUGCUCUGCUCUUGUAUCUGGAGAAGAAGUAGCUGGUGGCUGAUUAUCAGUAAUAUUCGGUGUCGAAAAAAUCGGAGGAAGCCCAAAUGGAUAGAAAGUCUCAAUAUUCUGGGAAUUUGAUUGGCAAGAACAUUGAGGUAUAACAGAAAUACUGCAACAAAUAAUGAAAAUGUAAAGAAAAAAUGUCGAAAAUCGGAGCUUAAUCAUGUUCAUGCAACUUCGAAAAGAGCUCUGCAGAGAUUUUUCUGAUAUGAACUUGUUGUACCAAACAUUAUUUUGUGCAUGGCUGAUUAGAUUACAGCUAUUGUGGUUUGGUUUAUCUGGCUGACAAAAUCAAGAAAAGCAGGUGAAAAAGUUAGUUAUUUCCGUUGCUUUGAGGGUUCCUGGGCACUUCAUUUCUUGUGAAAUGACUACAAAGCCCUCCAUACGAAUAAAAAAUCCAGGCCGAUAUAUGGGUAAAAGGGUAAUUUAGUGAAUAUAUUUUCGAAAAAUAGAUCGGUGCCAAGGUGGUUGUGGUUGUUUUAUCUGACUUCCUACUAAUUGAAUCUUUCUUGCAAGUUACAUGGUUGAUUUGGUACCGUUUAGAAACUUUAAAAAUUGUUAUUUUUUAAUUAACCGAGAUUAAUUUGAUAUUAUACAAUAAUUUGACAUAUUUCAUGGUUGAUGUCACAUCAUAAAUUCAGAUUAUCAAUAAAAUCGGCCGGCUGAGAUAACAAACGUUUCGCACAAUACGAAGUCAACCGUAUGACUUGGUCAACAAGGAUACGGUAUUUCGGUUUUUUGUUGGAUUUAGCGAUUUAGGUCAGCUUCCUUCCAAACUAGCCAUCCAAAUGCUGUCGUUAUCGAUUUAUAACUAAAAAAAUUGGAUAAACGUAAGGGCAAUAAACCGGAUGAAAUCGGACACCCCUCUGCGUAUGUAUGAGAUCGUUUUAUUUCUAAUAUGUUCAUAUUUAGAGUAGCUUGUGAUCUCUGUCAAAAAAAAAAGAAAAAAAAGUAGCUUGUGAUCAUUUUAUUCGGAUAUAAACCGAUUACAAACUCAAACUCAACUAUCGGAUUAUUUUAUUUUUAAUAUAUUCAGAUUUGGGAUCCUUUUAUUCGGAUAUAGACCAAUCUUGGAUAUUUGAUGUCCCGAUCAAAACCAAAUAUGAGUCAGUUUCGUAUUAGUUAUUCUUAAGAGAGUACUUUAUGAUUCACUGAAUAUGAACCGAAUAUGAUCAAUUAACAUUAGAGAUUAUAUUAAUUUCAAUUAUUUAAAAAAUUAGCAUUUAAUUUGAAAUAAAUUUAAUAUUACAAAAAUUUAAUAAUUAUGAAAAUAAUAUAACAAAAGCAUACAAAUUACUCUUUUAUGAGAGUCGGCCGCCCAUCUCUCUUGACCCUAAUCGUCUCUAUCUUCUCAUCCAUCCACCUUUUCUGCCCAUCUCCAUCUUCAUCUAUUUCCCUUUCUUUCAUCCUCGAUUCUCUUUCUCUUUCUCAUACCAAUCUCAGUUUCUAGCCACCCCUUCUCCAUCCACACAUCACUUUUCUUACUUUUAAUUUUCUGUUAAUAAAUAUUCUCUUUUAUUUGUUUUUUUUAAUAAAAUCGAGUUUUGAAUCACAAAACAUGAAAAACCCAUUUGGUUUUUUCGUUUCCUUCAAUUUGUGUUAUUGUUUGUGUGUUUGAGUGUCUCGUUUCUUGCCAUAUCACAUGUGUCUCGCUUUAUGCGAUGUGUUAGUAAUGUUGAAAAUGUAUUUGACUAUAUAUUGGGAGAUCUGGAAAUUUCGCAACAAAAACACUUUCGGCAGGUCUAUAGCUGGUGUCUGUCAGGUAGAUAGUUAGGGUGUGUUUGGAACAGUAUUGGAAAUCACAUGGGUUCACCUUUCACAAAAAAUAUUUGUUCAUAAUAUGAGGCCUUUAAACUCAAUUUUUGCAACUGAGUCCUCUAAACUUUGCACUAUCCAUGAAAUUACUGUGAGGGUAAAUUGUGGAGCAAUUGUUUUUAGGAGAGAUGCACGCUGGAUUACUUAGAAAACCAUUAUCUUCAUUUUUAAUUUUCGGAAUAUUUAUAUUAAGCAAUUCGAAAAUAAAACGGCUCAUUAUUUAGUUCGUUGAUUUGUUUUUAACCUAGCUAAUAACAUGAUCAAUUGGGGAUUUGUCCCGAUUGAAUCUUUUUCAAAGUAUUAAUAAAAUCCGUUUUAAAUUUAACAAAAAAAUGUAAAUAAAAAAACUUAAAUUAAUAACCGAAACCAAAAUAUUGGCGAUGAACUCUUUAAUCCGAUAAUCUCCUCUUGAAUCGAAUAAAAAUGUAAACCGAAAGCUCCUAUGACAUAUAUCUAUUAUAUUUUACAUAAAUUAAUUAGAUACUCCUAUCAUCUUUUAUAAUUAAAACAAAAUAUAUUUAUAUACAUGCAUAAUAAUAUAAAAAUGUGUAUACGUAUGUUUUAUGAGUUGAAUUAAAUAUGUAAGAUACAUAAAUUCAAUUAAAUAAAGUUAGGAUAAUGAUGAUGUGGGAAAAAGAUAAUAGAUGAUGCUGAACUAGAAGAGAAAAAGUAGUUGACCUAAAUAUGCAUAGAGUAGUUUUCAUGUAUUUCAUGCAAUAACACGCAUUAUGAUAAAGUGGUUUGUUUUAUGAACAGUAAUUCGAUUUCUAUCAUUUCGUAUUUCUUUAUAUAAGAGUAAUAUAAUGUAGGAUAAUGUUCAAAAGAGAAGCAUUAGAGAGAACCCAUAGAAUCCUUUAGGUUCAAUAGCAGAACUUCACAUGCAAAAAAUGUCAAUAUCUAGGUAUUAUAUUUUAAAAUUAUUUUUGAACAUAUACAAUAAUGAAAAAACAUGUAUUUAGAUUUAGAUCCUAAAAAUUUAUUCAAAAUUUAGGAUUCUGCAGCAGAACCUUGAUGAUUCUCUGAUUCUAUUUUAAGGACUGGUUCUUUCUUGAGUGCGAUCCAUAUAAUUGAUCGUAUAAUUCAAAUUAAAAUAAUAAUAUAAAAUCCCUCUAUCCCACCUGAUGCUUUACAAUUUCCUUCUUGACGUCCCACUCAUUUCCUUACAUUACAAACUUUCCUAAAAUAGUUAAUGGAUCCCACCACUUUCACACUCCCCCCCCUUCACACUGCUUUUACUUAACUAUCUCUCUUUUAUAUACUCCUUAUCUCACAAUACAAGUCUCUUUUGAAAAAUCAGAUUUGACCGGCUGGAUAUUUUUGUUUCGUUUGUUAGAAAGCAAGCCAACAAAGUAGCCCACGUGUUAGCUAGGGUUGCUUGUAGGGGUGUACACAUGUUGGCGAAAUCGACCAACCCAAUCCAAACCGAUCAUAUUUCGGCCGAUCCAAUCCGAAAUUUUUUAACCCGAUUAGUAACUGGAUUGAAAUGGUAUUAACCCGAUUUAAUUUUAUGUCUUUGACAAGAUUGUUAAAGUAAUUUUUAAUGUAAAAAAUUUGAUAUUGAAGACCUAUUCGACACCGGCGAUUAUAACCAAACCAAUCCGAACCGAUCCAAACCGAAGUACUACAAAUUGGUUUGGGCUAUAAAUUUAUACGGUUCGGGUUGGGUUGAAAUUUUGAAAAUCCGAUUUAAUUGGGUUGGGUCAAAAAAUUCCGCUAACCCGCCCAACCCGAACCAUGUACACCCCUAGUUGCUUGUGAGGUUAAUAACUUUGUUGAUUUUAUGUAUCCUCCAUAAAUGGUGUUUGGAGAAUAUUAUGCAUGACGCUUUGACGAUAUAACGCAAUUCUGCGUUUAAAAAAAAAGGUAUAAUUUAAAAUACUAAGGCAGAGGGAAAUAUAAGGCAUAUCGGUGAUAUUGUUAUUUGUAAGAACCCGAAAUUAUAAGAGAGGGUUUCACUUGUGAUGGUGAUUCAUGACGAAGGAAUGCGAUGUGGAUGUUAGGCUAGCUAGAGAUUGUGGGGAUGUACCAACUUCAUGCUACCGCGUAAAUGAAGUGGUUGGAAAUUACGCUUACAUUUUGACCUUUGCCAAAGGGAAUUAAAGAUCGUAUUCAUGACUUUUGUUGAUUUUUAUAUAGCCCAACUAUCGAAUGUUCUCACUUACUCAGCUACAAUGUUGAUUGCAAUGGCCUUUUUUUCCUCCGAGUAGAUAAUCGGCUUUGAAAUUCAUUACAUAUUAAUUAAUGCUUUGUUGAAUUAACGGAGUACUAUUUCUUCCAUUUUAAAAUUGAUGUACACUUCAAAAUCACACAUGAUAAUGAGAAUUAUUUAUCAGUUUGAUCUUACUCCAUCCUAAAUUAGAUGACUUUUUUGUGAAAAUUUUUUAUUCCAAAAUAAUUGAGCUUCUCACUUUUCAAUGCAUAUUUAUCAACCAUUUUGAAAGAUGGUUGACAUAUAAAAAUGAAAAAUAUAGUGAAUGUCUUAAAAUUAUCAAUUAUUUUCGAACUUGUUAGUUCAAAGCUUAGAAGAUUGGUAUGAAAUUUUUGUGAAACUAAAUGGAACCAUGGACGCCCAUUCCAGGCUGAAUUCCAUUUCACUGAUAGAAGUUGGUCAGCUGGGGGCAUGUUUUCUUCUCACUGGUCAAGUGAAAAUGAUUAAAGUCAGAUUUGCAUGAAAAUUAAGAGUAUUUUCAAAAGAUUUUUUUUAAAUAAAUUCUUAGAUCUAAAUUUAAAAACAGGUCAAGAAUUAAUGUUAAAUUGAUUCUUAGAAAUUCUAUAAAAAUCUAGAAGUCUACCUUCUCUUUUAUUUUAAAGAGCAUCUAUUAGUUUUUAACUUUUUAUUUAUGAUUAUACUAUUGAUUUUCCACCAAUCUUCCAUCUUUUUUAGUUAAAUUUUUCCCUCUCAUUUAUACUAAAUAAAUAUAAAAAUAUAAAAAUAAUAAUAUAAAAAAUAAUAUUAAAAUUCUCAUAUUUUUUAAUAUGAAUUUUAUAUUGUUAUUUAAGAGAUAAUUUAGGAGCAUGAUGGGAGAUGCCUCAACAGCAUUAACCGCUCAGCACAGGCAAGAUACAAGCUUUUGACUUUGCGCUUUGACUUGCCACGCUUAGAUUAGAGCACUGCCGCGGGUCACUUCCCACGUGUCGGGGACCGGGAAUCUGGGAUAUGCAAAAUGGAUACGGGAUCGAUAUAUAUUCUUUUUGUCCACAAUUAAUCAGGUUAAAGAUUUAUCUUCUGUUGUCCCAGGUUCUGGGUUCGACUCUGGCUCACCCGAGAUUUCUGAGAACAGAUACUCACAUGUUAUAAGUUAUAUUUGUAAAAAAAAAAAAAGAUUAAUUUUGACUUGUCAUACGUAAUUUGAGAUGUAAGAAAAAUACUCUUCUGUUUUGAAAUAUAAGUCGUUUGACUUUUUGACACACGAUUCUAAGUCCUUUGACCGCAUAGUUAAAUUCAUUAUUUAUAAAAUUUUCUUUUUUCGAAUAAAAGUAUAUGAUUAAUAUUAUAAUUUGGAAAAAGAAAAUUUUAAAAAUAACAAUUUUAACUAAGCGGUCAAAAGACUUAGAAGUGUGUGCCAAAAAGUCAAGCGACCUAUAUUUCAAAACGGAGGGAGUAUAUCUUUACAUAACUUUAAAAUUUUCUUUUUCUACAUAAAAAUUUACCAUCUAUAUUUUUAUUAGGAAACGAAUUUGAAAAUAAUGUGUAGAAAUAUGUGUUUUUUACAUUUUAAAUUACGUAUAAAAGGUCAAAGACUUUUAUUUUGGGACAGGGAGAUUAUUAUUUUUUGCAUUAGUGGAAUGGUGAACAAGAGAACAAUCUCACCUAGGGGUGGACCUAGGAAAUUUUUCCUCCCCAGGCUGGAGUAAAAAAAAUUUACAAGCUAAAAAUUGUGUAAAAAAAAAUAAUAUUUCGUUUUUGCAACAAAAAAAACACAGAAAAUUAGUCAUAAUAUCUCAACUGGUUCUACUGCUAAACCAUAUUUUUCCAUAUAAAACAAAAAAAUUAUAGUACCCGUUUAUAGAGCACACAUAAAUUAAAUACACAAAACACAUUUCAAAAAUUUAAAUAGCUAAAAAAGAUAAAAACAUUAACUCCUCUCUUGAUGACACUGGGAUCACAUUCUUUACAAUAUUGUUAAAUUCGAUCCUAAAAUGCUUCCGCUUUUUUAUCAGUACUCCCUCCGUUUCAUAUUACAUGUCCACUUUAAAAAAAUCACAUAGUUUAAGAAAAGUGGAUUGUGAGAAAAAAGAGGUGUAUUAAGUCAUUAAUUGAAAAUAAUAUGUGGUGUAUGGUUGAUCUUGGAAAUAUAAGUUAGUAAUAUGUGGAGUAGAGUUGAUUUUGGAAAUAUAAAUUUACAUUGAAAGUUAAAGUGGACAAGUAUUUUGAAACAAAUUUUUUUUUCUAAAGUGGACAUGUAUAUUGAAACGGAGGGAGUAACAAUUAACGAAUCAAUUGACACAUUCAAUCAUGCACUUAUUAGUAUUUUAUCUUCUACCCACUUCCAGUAACCGGAGAUUUCACGUACAUGUUCACUUUUUUUGUAAUCAUCAUUUAGAUCAACAAAGUUUGUAUCACAGAAGGUCGACACCUGCGAAUCUAGAGAAUUUUGGAUAUUGAUAGGUGAUUGUUAGGUUUCAAAUUAUGAAUUUGGAAAUGGAGGAAAUGGGAAUGGAUAUAGAGAAUUUUGAGGAUGUGAAAACGAAAAUUGAGAAACUUGAGAAUGUGAAAAUGGGUGUUGAGAAUUUGGGGUUUGAGAAUAAAAAUUAAAAUUUUGUGGGUUCACAAAAUAACAAUUUGGAUAUUGAUAUGGAAAUUGAGGGUUUGGAUUUUGAGAAUUCGGAGGAAAGGUUUAUUUGGAUUCAUUUUUUGGGAGAGAAAAAUUAAUAUUUUUAUGAAGUAAAAAAUAUGAAUAAUGGGAUGAUUAUAUAUAGGAGUAAAAAUAGAAUCAUCAACAUCAUAAAUAAACUUUGAAUCAUAAGUAGAAUGCUUUACAAGAGUAUCUCAAGUGUAUUCACAAUAGGAAUGAUGAAUAACUUCAAGGGUUUUCAAUGAAUCAGGUAUAACAUGAUUGGAUUGCACAGCAUAUCAA
rnacentral:lncRNA from 1 species